GAUGAACGCUGGCGGCGUGCCUAAUACAUGCAAGUCGAGCGAACAGACGAGGAGCUUGCUCCUCUGACGUUAGCGGCGGACGGGUGAGUAACACGUGGAUAACCUACCUAUAAGACUGGGAUAACUUCGGGAAACCGGAGCUAAUACCGGAUAACAUGUUGAACCGCAUGGUUCAACAGUGAAAGACGGUCUUGCUGUCACUUAUAGAUGGAUCCGCGCCGCAUUAGCUAGUUGGUAAGGUAACGGCUUACCAAGGCAACGAUGCGUAGCCGACCUGAGAGGGUGAUCGGACACACUGGAACUGAGACACGGUCCAGACUCCUACGGGAGGAAGCAGUAGGGAAUCUUCCGCAAUGGGCGAAAGCCUGACGGAGCAACGCCGCGUGAGUGAAGAAGGUCUUCGGAUCGUAAAACUCUGUUAUUAGGGAAGAACAAAUGUGUAAGUAACUAUGCACGUCUUGACGGUACCUAAUCAGAAAGCCACGGCUAACUACGUG
rnacentral:rRNA from 1 species